CGAAACGUCGGUUCUCGUGCGAUCAACGAAGUUAAGCAACGUCGAACUUGGUCAGUAUCUAGAUGGGUGACCGCUUAGGAAUAUCAGGUACUGUAA